rnacentral:rRNA from 1 species
CAGCAGCCGCGGGAAUACGGAGGGUGCAAGCGUUAAUCGGAAUUACUGGGCGUAAAGCGUGCGCAGGCGGUUAUAUAAGACAGAUGUGAAAUCCCCGGGCUCAACCUGGGAACUGCAUUUGUGACUGUAUAGCUAGAGUACGGCAGAGGGGGAUGGAAUUCCGCGUGUAGCAGUGAAAUGCGUAUAUAUGCGGAGGAACACCGAUGGCGAAGGCAAUCCCCUGGGCCUGUACUGACGCUCAUGCACGAAAGCGUGGGGAGCAAACAGGAUUAGAUACCCCCGUAGUCCCUGUCUCUUAUAC